UACGUAGGAUGCAAGCGUUGUCCGGAAUUAUUGGGCGUAAAGAGCGCGCAGGCGGUCACUCAAGUCAGAUGUGAAAUAUCCGGGCUUAACCCGGAGGGGUCAUUUGAAACUGAGUAACUAGAGUACAGCAGAGGAUAGCGGAAUUCCCGGUGUAGUGGUGAAAUGCGUAGAUAUCGGGAGGAACACCAGUGGCGAAGGCGGCUAUCUGGGCUGAAACUGACGCUGAGGCGCGAAGGCUAGGGGAGCAAACAGG
rnacentral:rRNA from 1 species